rnacentral:rRNA from 1 species
ACAGAACUUAGCAGAGAUGCUUUGGUGCCUUCGGGAACUGUGAGACAGGUGCUGCAUGGCUGUCGUCAGCUCGUGUUGUGAAAUGUUGGGUUAAGUCCCGCAACGAGCGCAACCCUUAUCCUUUGUUGCCAGCGGUCCGGCCGGGAACUCAAAGGAGACUGCCAGUGAUAAACUGGAGGAAGGUGGGGAUGACGUCAAGUCAUCAUGGCCCUUACGACCAGGGCUACACACGUGCUACAAUGGCAUAUACAAAGAGAAGCGACCUCGCGAGAGCAAGCGGACCUCAUAAAGUAUGUCGUAGUCCGGAUUGGAGUCUGCAACUCGACUCCAUGAAGUCGGAAUCGCUAGUAAUCGUAGAUCAGAAUGCUACGGUGAAUACGUUCCCGGGCCUUGUACACACCGCCCGUCACACCAUGGGAGUGGGUUGCAAAAGAAGUAGGUAGCUUAACCUUCGGGAGGGCGCUUACCACUUUGUGAUUCAUGACUGGGGUGAAGUCGUAACAAGGUAACCGUAGGGGAACCUGCGGUUGGAUCACCUCCUU